UACGUAGGGGGCAAGCGUUGUCCGGAAUUAUUGGGCGUAAAGAGCGCGUAGGCGGUCCGAUAAGUCGGCUGUGAAAGUCAUGGGCUCAACCCAUGAAAGCCGGUGGAUACUGUCGGGCUAGAGUCCGGAAGAGGCGAGUGGAAUUCCUGGUGUAGCGGUGGAAUGCGCAGAUAUCAGGAGGAACACCAAUAGCGAAGGCAGCUCGCUGGGACGGUACUGACGCUGAGGUGCGAAAGCGUGGGGAGCGAACAGG
rnacentral:rRNA from 1 species